GACCUAAUGGUGAAACGGUAUCACGUCCGCAGUUUGUAUAAUGUGACCAAUCAGCUUUAGUGGAAGUCCCUGGUUCGACUCCAGGUUAGGUCA